ACUAAGAAGUUAAAAAGACAUCCUUAUCACCAGAGACAGAGACUUUAAAGCUGAGAAAGGUGUGGAAACAAACGUUGUUACUUUUUUUUUCUUUUGUAAUUUACUAACUCGGCCCGAAUUCCACUUCAUAAUUCCUUGCUAAUUAAAGCUCCCAAACAUCUAUUUUCUUUAUCCCGUCAAUUACUCACCAAUUUGUUAUCUCUUUGUCCGAAAAGCAUAAAAACUGCUUCGGUGUUUCUUUGGGUCUCAAUUGCAUUAUUAGGCCUCCACGUGCACUGAAUAAAACCUAGUUUUUCCUCCUCCUAUUCACGGGUCUCGUGUAGAUUUAAUUCUUAGUCCAUCUGGAAGACCUCAUCUGAGUUUCAUUCCAGCCAAAUAUUGGAACUGUGGUAUACUGUGUGCUUGUCAUAAUUACAGUCUGUAGGUGAUGAUGUUGUGGAAGAAGGUUCCAAAAUGAAGUGAGCGUUGCAAAGAGUCAUUCAAAACAGGGUCUGGAGGAUACUGAAGCCGCGCCUAUGCACCUGUCCUGUUGCAAUUCUCAGCACGAGGUGAACUUUUGACUUUAAUCAACUACAUCUUGUCAAUUGCACGCCCACCACCUCCUGGAACACAGAUUCCGGUUCCGGUUCUGUCUUCACUCAUAGCUGAGGGGAGCCUUCUGUCUUCCCCCAUUCUGAGUGGGAGAGCCGGGUUUCAGGUUCUCGGUAGACACUGCAGCAUAAUUUUAUUGCACAGUUACUCCAUCAAGGCACUGGAUGUCGCAGUGAAGAGACCAUGCCGUUUAUUGCACAAAGGACUUAUAAAUAUUCUUCUACGGGAAAAUUGCGAUGUUCCUGAUGCUACGGAAAGGUAGGUAUUUUGAGAUAGUUGUCUACUCUGAUGGAAUCCGCCGAGUGUCUUCUUAGUGUUUGCUUCUAUUCAGCCAGACUGUGAUUCAUGUCCACAUGGAUGUGAGUGGUAUCGUAUGGGGUAAUGUUAAAGAAAAAAAUGCCAGGAGACCAAAGAUUGAGUGCUUAGUAGGAACAGUGAUUUUAUCAAGCAGGGUACUCAAUCUAAUACAGGGUUUAGACUCUCGGGGGGAUGAGAUUUUGGAGAGAAGAGUGAAAUGGGUCCUUUAAAGGUAAAAGAUGUCAAUGGUCUCUGUCUCAUAGUAGGAGAGCAAUGUCUUUGAGUGAUGCUGAUUGAUUGGUGUUGCCUGGGCUUGUCCCUUAGGUAAGUGGAGGCUAGGUGAGGAUACUCUUCUGCAUAUCAGGGUGCCUGCCUCAAGGUAAUGGUGGCCAGCUGCCUCUGCUCUGUAUGUGACAUAUUGCCAUCACAUUAUGCCACCUGCUUAGUGUCAGCGGUGGCCAGUGGCCAGGUCAAACUUACCAGGAGUGAGCCUGUGGAGCCUAAUCUAGAUUUAAGAAGUCCUGGGUUCUAGUCUUGGUAAUGCCAUUGACUCAGCUGUGUGACCUUGGACUCCCAAGAGACUUCUCUAGGCCUUAGUUUGCUGAUUUGAAAAAAAAAAAAAAAAAAAAAAAAGACAAGGCGGGCCUAGAUCUGUGAAAACCACUUCACAUUCUGCUAGAGGUUCUGCUGAAGGAUUUCAAGAGUGACCACAGUGCCCUAACUUGCCCCCACCCAACUCCCACCCGACAAGAG
rnacentral:lncRNA from 1 species